rnacentral:rRNA from 1 species
GACGAACGCUGGCGGCGUGCCUAAUACAUGCAAGUAGAACGCAGUUGCGAACGGGUGAGUAACGCGUAGGUAACCUGCCUCAUAGCGGGGGAUAACUAUUGGAAACGAUAGCUGAUACCGCAUACUGUGAGAUGGACCUGCGUUGUAUUAGCUAGUUGGUGAGGUAAAGGCUCACCAAGGCGACGAUACAUAGCCGACCUGAGAGGGUGAUAGGCCACACUGGAACUGAGACACGGCCCAGACUCCUACGGGAGGCAGCAGUGGGGAAUAGUGCACAAUUGGCGCAAGCGUGAUGCAGCCAUGCCGCGUGUAUGAAGAAGGCCUUCGGGUUGUAAAGGAAUUUCAGCUGGGAGGCGUUACCAGCAGAAGAAGCACCGGCUAACUCCGUGCCAGCAGCCGCGGUAAUAC